rnacentral:rRNA from 1 species
UUACCACGGUGUGGUUCAUGACUGGGGUGAAGUCGUAACAAGGUAGCCGUAGGGGAACCUGCGGCUGGAUCACCUCCUUAAAA